rnacentral:rRNA from 1 species
UAGUUAAGUGCUUGAAACUCAAAGAAUUUGGCGGUGUUUUAGUCUAUUCAGAGGAAUCUGUUCCGUGAUCGAUAAUUCACGAAUUAUACUACUCAGUUUUGUAAUAUAUUCAGUUUGUAUACCGCCGUCAUCAGAUUAUCCUUUCAGGGUUUAUUUUCUUGAAAUUUAAUUAUAUUGUAUGUCAGGUCAAGGUGCAGCUAAUAAUUGAGUGGAAAUGGGUUACAAUAGAAUUAUUUAUACGGAUUGUGGUGUGAAAGACUUAUUGAAGGUGGAUUUGAUAGUAAAGUUGUUUGUUGAUAUAUUGAUUUUAGCUCUAAAACAUGCACACAUCGCCCGUCGCUCUCGUUAUUAAGGUGAGAUAAGUCGUAACAAAGUAGAUGUACUGGAAAGUGUAUCUAGAAAGA